UUCCNUUAAUACUGGGAGCUCAUGACGGUACCGUAAGAAUAAGCACCGGCUAACUACGUGCCAGCAGCCGCGGUAAUACGUAGGGUGCAAGCGUUAAUCGGAAUUACUGGGCGUAAAGCGUGCGCAGGCGGUUAUGUAAGACAGAGGUGAAAUCCCCGGGCUCAACCUGGGAACUGCCUUUGUGACUGCAUAGCUAGAGUACGGUAGAGGGGGAUGGAAUUCCGCGUGUAGCAGUGAAAUGCGUAGAUAUGCGGAGGAACACCGAUGGCGAAGGCAAUCCCCUGGACCUGUACUGACGCUCAUGCACGAAAGCGUGGGGAGCAAACANGGAUUAGAUACCCUGGUAGUCCACGCCCUAAACGAUGUCAACUGGUUGUUGGGUCUUCACUGACUCAGUAACGAAGCUAACGCGUGAAGUUGACCGCCU
rnacentral:rRNA from 1 species